rnacentral:rRNA from 1 species
CGACCGGCGCACGGGUGAGUAACGCGUAUGUAAUCUACCUGUAACAGAGGGAUAACCCGGAGAAAUCCGGACUAAUACCUCGUAGCACAUAUUAUUCGCAUGAAUUUUAUGUUAAAGAGACUCGGUUACAGAUGAACAUGCGUUCCAUUAGCUAGUUGGCGGGGUUACGGCCCACCAAGGCAACAAUGGAUAGGGGUUCUGAGAGGAAGGUCCCCCACACUGGUACUGAGACACGGACCAG